rnacentral:rRNA from 1 species
UACGUAGGGGGCAAGCGUUGUCCGGAAUCAUUGGGCGUAAAGCGCGUGUAGGCGGUCCGGUAAGUCCGCUGUGAAAGUCAAAGGCUCAACCUUUGAAAGCCGGUGGAUACUGUGGGACUAGAGUACGGAAGAGGCGAGUGGAAUUCCUGGUGUAGCGGUGGAAUGCGCAGAUAUCAGGAGGAACACCAAUAGCGAAGGCAGCUCGCUGGGACGUUACUGACACUGAGGCGCGAAAGCGUGGGGAGCGAACAGG